rnacentral:rRNA from 1 species
AGCGAACGCUGGCGGCAGGCCUAACACAUGCAAGUCGAACGAACCUUUCGGGGUUAGUGGCGGACGGGUGAGUAACACGUGGGAACGUGCCUUUAGGUUCGGAAUAACUCAGGGAAACUUGUGCUAAUACCGAAUGUGCCCUUCGGGGGAAAGAUUUAUCGCCUUUAGAGCGGCCCGCGUCUGAUUAGCUAGUUGGUUGAGGUAAUGGCUCACCAAGGCGACGAUCAGUAGCUGGGCUGAGAGGAUGAUCCGCCACAUUGGGACUGAGACACGGCCCAAACUCCUACGGGAGGCAGGAGUGGGGAAUCGUGCGCAAUGGGCGAAAGCAUGACGCAGCCAUGCCGGGUGAAUGAUGAAGGUCUUAGGAUUGUAAAAUUCUUUCACCGGGGACGAUAAUGACGGUACCCGGAGAAGAAGCCCCGGCUAACUUCGUG